rnacentral:lncRNA from 1 species
CAAUGAACAAAUAGUCUGUUGGGGAAUUUCGAUAUUCCACUCUCAAAGUAGCUUGUACAUCAGUGGUUCCCUGAAUAUUUCCUGAUACACCAACAUAUGCAGUAACAUAAUAAGUGGAACCUGGAGAAACAAUGCUUGUGAUAUCUUGCUCCAAGCCCUGCCAACUUUCUGUUCGAUUCGUGACAACUGCAUAAUAACCACCUCGCUUUGUUAAGAAUGCUGGGUGACCUGACUCUGCUGAAACCGCAGAGAAACUGCAGCCAUUUGCGUGCCAAGAAUGCAGUCCUUGAGAGAAGUCAUGGUUCGUUAUGACAUUGAUGGUAGUGUUGCCACUUGAACCAGAUAUGCCCUGGUCUAUUAUGGUCUUGCUGACAGUGUCACCUCUUGAACCAGCCAUCCCAUGGUCCGCUGUGAUGUUGAUGGUUUCGCUGCUACAGGAAGUAGCUAUGCCCUGGUCCGUUGUGGUCUUGAUGGUUCCGCUGCUACUUGAACUAGCUAUGCCCUGGUCCAUUAUAUUAAAGUUUGAGCAAGUUUGAAAUAUAUAUGUAAAAACAUGUAAAGAUUCUCCCAUAGAACAUUAAUAAUGAUAGAAGGAAAAAACUGUUUUGCACAGGAUCUAUAUUGACCUAUAAUGUAAAAUAGUAAUGAAAUUUACAUAAAAUUUCAUAAAUUUAUACUACAGACUCAUAUAGAUCUGAUAUAGAUAAGGAUUGUCUGUAAAAUUAGUUCAACUUACCUGAAUUGUUGGAUGAGGGGAGGAAUGUACUUUUUCAGCAUGCUUUAGAAAAAAGCCAUUGACAAGAAUAUCAGUGUCUGCAGGUGGACCUUCUAUAUAAAUUACUACCUUUUUAGGGUAAUUAUCUAGAAGGAACUUCCCCUUCAACUGUACCCACUUUUUAUCUGUUACCUCCAUACUAUACAUCCAAAAAGACAAUCAUCAUGAAAUCAAUUAAAAAAUAUAGUAAAAGAAAAUCUAGAUAAUUUAAUUUAGUUGAUGAAAAUGAAAGAAAUGAUAUAACUUAAUAAAACCUAAAACCUCAUAUUCCUAUAUGAUAUAGUUAUAAAAAUCUAUAUAAUCUAAAUAUAUAUAAAAACUAUAAAAUUAACUUUAAAAUAUAUUUUUCUAAACGUGAUAAGUGUCUUUCUAUUAGAUUUUUUUUUGUCUAUUUAUCUAUUUUGUCCAUAUCUUAUUACUUAAUAGAUAGCUUUUUAUAUUUUUUUUGAAAGUACGUGAGUUUUCAUUUUAAUAAUAAUAAUAAUAAAUAUGUAUAUAUUAAAUAAAAUUUAUUAGUAUUAUUAUUAUUAUUAUUCCUGAUUGACAAAUGAAUAACAAGUAAAAUUAAGAUGAAAAAGUAAUUAUUCUCUAUUUUAACAACAAAAAAAUAAUAUUUAUAACUUUCUCUUGUUAAGUUUGUAAUAAAAAAAUCGAUGAUGAUUUUUUUACUGUUAAUCUCUAAAGAAAAUAAUCUUUUAUGAUAUUUGAUUUAAUACAGAAAAUGAAGUUAAUUAUUAGCGUAUUAGUAUUAAUCUUAGUUAUGUUUAGUAUAAUAAAAUGAUAAAUAAAAGAAAUUGAGAGAUUAAAAUUUAACCCAGUCCAGAUAUUGCAGUAUAAGAGGUAGUGUAAUGAAUAUGCACUCAGUAGGUGAAUAUUAAUCUGGUGUAAAUUUUAACUCAAAAAAUCAACCAUAGCUAAAUGAGAUUAACUAUUUAUAGGAAUAAAAAUUUAAAAUUUCAAUUAUAAAAUACCAUAGAUCUCUUGGUUCUAUAAAUUUUAUUUAAAAAUUAUUAAUUAAAUUAAUUUUACUAAAUAAAUUCAUUUAAUAUAAAUUGAUAAUUAAAAAAAAAAAAUUACAUGUCACUUAAUUAAAAGAGACCAGUUAACCGCCAAAAUAGGCAAUUGAGACUAUUUUCUCAAAUCCUCUGUGAAUAGAGAAGUGCCGAUGGAGAAACUAAGAAGAUUAAGUCUAAGCUAUAGAAAGCUAUGUUAAAAUUGCAAGUUAUCCAUUCUACAGAAUCUUCAUCAAGUUUUAAGACUAUAAAAGUCAUUCUUUCUCAAAUCAAAGAGGGUUUUUUAAUCGAUUUAAGAAUAAACUUUUCAAAUUCUUAAAUCUCAUAAAUCAAAGAAAAAAAAUUAAAGUAUUGAAUUUCUUUAUUUCAAAUAAUUUAUUAUUGGAAAUUCAACUCACUUUUUUUAUUAAAUUAAUAUUUAUUCCCUAUUUUUUUAUUUUUUAAUUUCAGUUAUGAAAUUUAUGUGUACACUGUUACCUUCUUUGACCUUAUACUAAAUAUAUUAAUAGUUAUUUCAAUUAAAUAAGGUCUAAAAAUAUUCACACGAUGUGGGUAAGUGUCUAAUUCAUAAAUCCACAUGAAUAAAAGGUUGAAUUAAGAAAAUGCUAUUUGCAGAAAUCGAAGCUGAUAAAAAGAAUAUUAUGUAUGGAAAUUAUUAGAGGGAAAAAGAGCUAACUUGGCAAUGCCUAUGUAUUCUUCUCGGAGAUCUGUCGUUUGGACGCAUAAAGUAACUCGCACAUCAGCACUGCUAACAUUGUUGCCAAAGAUCCGAACCACAGCAAUGGCCUCAUAAGCUACCUUUGCCUGUACUUUUCCAGUUAUCUCCUGCUCUAUUCCGUUCCAGCUCUGGGUACGCUCAGUUGCACAUGCAAAAACUUUUCCAAACAGGGGGACAAUUUUUCCACAAGCCAAUGAUUCAUGUAAGACAAGCUUGCAGCCUCUUCCAGACCAUUUGUUCAGGCCAUCCUCAAAUUUAGGAUUUGCCAUGAUGUUCCCUUCUCCAUAUCCAGUGUCCACAAAUUGAUAAUUACUUGUUUCCUUUUGAUAGCUUGUUACCUUUUGAUAGCUUGUUUCCUUUCCAUAUCAAAAUGAAAAAUUUUUUACAAAUUUAUCAUCACAAAAAAGUACAAAUAAAAUUAAUAAAUAGGUUUAAGAAGAAAAAUUACAUAGAAUUCACUUGGAGGGGAGCUGGUAAUAACGACUGAUUGUACAAGCAAGUCCACUGCAGGAGAAGGGCCUUCCAAGUAAAAAAGGACACGAUCAGGCUUCUUUGGCAGGGAGAAUUUUCCUUCCAACUUUUCCCACCUUUCCUUUGACAGAGAAAUUCUGCAGGGAUAUAUAACUUACAUUAAGACAAUCUGUAUGUUUCAUUUAAGGAAGAAAUGCAAUAAAAUGAAGCAACAAAUCUAUUACCUUCCAAUGAACAAAUAGUCUGUUGGGGAAUUUCGAUAUUCCACUCUCAAAGUAGCUUGCACAUCAGUGGUUCCUUGAAUAUUUCCUGAUACACCAACAUAUGCAGUAACAUAAUAAGUGGAACCUGGAGAAACAAUGCUUGUGAUAUCUUGCUCCAAGCCCUGCCAACUUUCUGUUCGAUUCGAGACAACUGCAUAAUAACCAC